rnacentral:rRNA from 1 species
ACGUAGGAGGCGAGCGUUAUCCGGAUUCACUGGGCGUAAAGCGCGUGCAGGCGGUUUGGUAAGUUGAUCGUGAAAGCUCCCGGCUCAACUGGGAGAGGUCGUUCAAUACUACCAAACUAGAGAGUAGAAGAGGAAGAUGGAAUUCCCGGUGUAGUGGUGAAAUGCGUAGAUAUCGGGAGGAACACCAGUGGCGAAGGCGAUCUUCUGGUCUAUUUCUGACGCUCAGACGCGACAGCUAGGGUAGUAAACGGGAUUAGAGACCCCGGUAAUCCUAGCCGUAAACGAUGUGAACUUGGCGUCGGUGGCUUAAACACCAUCGGUGCCGAAGCAAACGCGAUAAGUUCACCGCCUGGGGACUACGGCCGCAAGGUUA